rnacentral:rRNA from 1 species
AGCGUGAAGGCACAACUCCACAAGAGUUGCGCGGUGCCACGUGUGCUAUAGCAGUACAUUCAUCACAAUUGAAAGGUACGCAUUGUAAAUCCUUUUGAAUAAGGUUUACCAUAGAGGGUGCGAGCCCCUUAGCGAUGUGACUUUCUCUUGUAGUGUUGACUGCAAAUAGCUAGAGUCGGUUUGCUUGAGAGUGCAGACCAAAGUAGGUGGUAAGCUCCACCUAAGGCUAAAUAUUACUGUGAGACCGAUAGCAAACAAGUACCGUGAGGGAAAGUUGAAAAGGACUUUGAAGAGAGAGUUCAAUAGGACGUGAAACCGUUUGCAGGUAAACAGAUGGACCCACGAAGUGCAUAUGUGUGGGCAGCAGAGAUGGCAACAUCUCAGUCUGCUCCAAUGCAACUCUGACUGUUUAGGGUCACUUUGAUGUAGUCUUUUUGAGAAAAAAGGCAAGACGUCUUUAACUGGAGUGAACCUUUACAGGUUCGCCAGUUAUUGAGCUUUGUAUCAUCAAGUGCACUGUAAACAGAUCUAAUCGAGAAUAUCAUACUGGGUACCAGUAGUAAAUGUUGACAUUGCAUUAGGUACGUUCCCGCCUGUCUCUUCGGAUUCAGUGGAAGUAUUUACAUGUUCAGUGUACACUUUGCUGCUGGUCUACACCAAUGAUCAUUGCAACUCGAAUCAGAGUAGUAGGUCGGUCAUCCAUCUGACCCGUCUUGAAACACGGACCAAGGAGUCUAACAUGCAUGCGAGUCACUCAGUCUUGAAUAGGCUCGAGAGGCGAAGCGAAAGCAACGUAUGAGACCAUCAUUWACUUGAUGCGCAUCAUCGGCCUUCUGUUAAUCUAGUUACAGAUAGAGUCAUAGCAUGCAUGUUGGUACCCGAAAGAUGGUGAACUAUGCUUGGGCAAGACGAAGCCAGAAGAAAUUCUGGUGGAGGUCUGUAGCGAUUCUGACGUGCAAAUCGAUCGUCAGACCUGAGUAUAGGGGCGAAAGACUAAUCGAACCAUCUAGUAGCUGGUUCCUUCCGAAGUUUCCCUCAGGAUAGCUGGUACUAAGUAAACUGUAGCAUCCGGUAAAGCGAAUGAUUAGAGGUCUUGGGAGCGAAACGCUCUCAACCUAUUCUCAAACUUUAAAUGGGUGCGGAGAGUAGCUUUCUUAAUUGAAGUUGCUUUUCACUCAGUAAGAUAUAGUACCAAGUGGGCCAUUUUUGGUAAGCAGAACUGGUGCUGUGGGAUGAACCAAACGUGCAGUUAAGGUACCCUAUGCGUUCACGCUCAUGAGACCCCACGAAAGGUGUUGGUUGCUAUAGACAGCAGGACGGUGGCCAUGGAAGUCGGAAUCCGCUAAGGAGUGUGUAACAACUCACCUGCCGAAGCAACCAGCCCUGAAAAUGGAUGAUGCUGAAGCGUGGAACCUAUACUGUACCGUUGUUGUAUAAGUUCUUUUAAAAAGACACAACAACGAGUAGGAAGGACGCAGUGAUAGCAUUGAAGGUUAGGAUGUGAAUCCAACUGGAGCUGUCACUGAUGCAGAUCUUGGUGGUAGUAGCAAAUACUCAAGUGAGAUCCUUGAGGACCAAAGUGGAGAAGGGUUCCAUGUGAACAGCAGUUGAACAUGGGUUAGCCGGUCCUGAGAGAGAUAUGCUCAAAUUGCAUGUUUGCAGCUACUCUCGAAAGGGAAUCAGGUUAAUAUUCCUGAGCCUAGUUACGGAGUCUGUGGCUUAUUGAUUGCUUCGGUGGUCAAUAGGUUACGAUGCGGCAACGCAAACGAGCUCUGGGACGUCAACGUAAGUCCGGGGAAGAGGUGUCUUUUCUUUGUCAGCAACUUACUCCGUGGAGAACGGGUCAUCCGGAGACACGGAACAAAGUUGCGGAAAGCACUGCACCCUGUAGCAGUGUCCGGGGUGCUUACGUUGGCCCUUGAAAACCAGAGUGAGAAACUCAAAUAUGNNNNNNNNNNNNNNNNNNNNNNNUGGGAGAUUGAUGUUAAAGUUAAUCGAAAUUGAAAUACCACCACUGUUAUCCUCUCUUCACUAACCUGGUAAAGGAGGUGAAUGUAGUCACUGUAUGUCCGUUAUUGGCUUACAGGUUAACAGAUUACGAUCGUAUAGAACAAGUUUACGAUUGUUUAUAUUUGUUGAGCAUGAACAUUUCUGUAAGUCAGCAAUGAUGGAGGAGAUGGGAUUGUGAAGCAUAAUAUACCAAGUCUAAAACGUAAACGAACCUCAUUCAGGGACAUAACCAGGUGGGGAGUUCGACUGGGGCGGUACAUCUACAAAAGAAUAACGUAGAUGUCCUAAGGACAGCUCAGUGAGGACAGAAACCUCGCGUAGCGCAAAAGGGCAAAAGCUGUCUUGAUGUAUUCUCUCAGUAGGAGAAUGCUACGGGGAAACCCCGGCCUAUCGAUCCUUUUGUCUUUGUUGUUAAGAGCUUUAAGCAAGAGGUGUCAGAAAAGUUACCACAGGGAUAACUGGCUUGUGGCAGCCAAGCGUUCAUAGCGACGUUGCUUUUUGAUUCUUCGAUGUCGGCUCUUCCUAUCAUUGCGAAGCAGAAUUCGCAAAGCGUUGGAUUGUUCACCCACUAAUAGGGAACGUGAGCUGGGUUUAGACCGUCGUGAGACAGGUUAGUUUUACCCUACUGAUGAUAUAAAUUGUCGUUGCUCUGGAAAUCCUGCUCAGUACGAGAGGAACCGCAGGUUCGGAUCACUGGUAUUGUGGUUGUUCGACAGGACAGUGCCACAAAGCUACCAUCCGUGGGAUUAUGAC